rnacentral:miRNA from 1 species
AAGUGGUGUCAUGUACAAUUGU